AUCUCAAAGCACUGACGUCGUUGCUGAGAGGCCUGCCCCACUCUGGUCCGCAAAUCGUUUCCCUAUCAAGGCGAUACCCAGCUAGAGAAUAAAGGAAGUGUCCCAGCCCGUGGAUGCGCGGCCCUCAUCACCUGCACAGACUAUGCCAGGACAGAGCCCCAAGCCCUGCGUGCAACGUUGCGUGCUCACCCACCCGCAGCUCCUUAGAUGCUCUCUGGGACGCCAGUUAGCGAGUGCAAGAACCCCAGUCCCUCCUGUCCCUGUUGGAGGGGCUCGUAGUUCACCACCCUUCCUGGUUUCUGCUCUCAAACACUGCUCCCUGAAGCCUCCGCCAGCGCACUCGACCUACAGGAAAGUUGCUCGUGAGCCGUGGAGGGGCGUCAUCGCCUCCUAGCAACGCUCCUAGCAACCGGAUAACAUCUGCUCCCUCUGGUCCAAUGCGAGCUGAGAACAGCUGCGCGCCCGCCUAGCGUUCUGAACCCGGAGCGAGAGGCGCUUCAGAGACUGGAGGGAAGGACCUGCAGGAGCCUGGGCUGCCCGCUGAGCUGCAGUUGCUGCUGCCGCCGCUGUCGCGCCGCCGUCGUCGCCGUCUCUGUCGUCCCCCUGGUCUGAAGAGUGACAGCGCCGGAAAAACAGGAGGGAGCAGCGAACCCCUCUCCUUUACGAAGCAGGUGCAUGCGCCAGCCUCCCGGUAACCAUUCAUGAGCUGGUGGCUGUGAGAAAUGCUUGCUGUGCAAAGGGGAACUCUCACCAGAUAUUCUGAAGCUAUCCUAGAGAUACACUUUUCAGAUUGAUUCAGCCUUACCAGCUUAUCAGACAAAAGUAUUACUAUAUACAUUAACAACGUCGAAAGUAGCCUACUUUAAGAGAAAAUAUGCAGAAGAAGAAGAUUUACAUCAAGAUUGCCAUGGGUAUUUUCCAAAACACCUGAUAUUGCCUGAGGACAGAACUUGCAUUCUCAAACUUUCUCUGGAGAAGCUCAGGUUUCUUGAAGACCCAGAAACCUAUUUAAGAAGGUCUGUGUUAAUUAACAAUUUGCUGAGGAAGAUACAUCUAGAGACGGAGAAAGAGAGCUAUGAAUACUUUAAAGAAGCUCCCUGUUAUAAGACUUCUUAUUCUGAUACAAGAAAACGGCUGAAGUUUAUGGUACAGGAAUGCUGUUCUCAGUCUCUCUAUUAUGAAGAGCUGCAUUCAUAUCAUAUUGUGCCUUAUGCUUCGGAGAAUGCCAUUUAUGGAAUGGGCUAUACUAGCAGCCACUUGGAGCAAAAUUCUCAGUUGCUUAUUUAUAAAAUGAAUUAAAGUAACUGUUAAGUCUAUUAUGUUUCUAAAUGCCUGAACUGUUUAUAGUGAAGAUGUUAACAUAAGGCACUAAUUACCAAUGCACUUGAGAUCAAAGAUGAGAUGCAUGCUGAACUGAUUGAUGAAAACCCUGGUUAUUACUCAGCAGUCCUUAAUGUCAUCAAAUAAAAUCGACAAAAUGUCCCCAUGUUUAAAGUAGCAAAUAGGUGUUAUAAAAGCGACUUUCCCCCCUUAAAAUAUAAAAAUGUGUAGAUGUAGGAAAGGACCAAUAUGAGUUCAUAAAGAACUGUGAAAAUUCUCAAUCUCCCUCUUUCUAACUAAAUUCUGCUAGUCAGUGGAGAGAAACAAAAAGUAACAGAUCAAAUUGAUACAGUAUCAUUCUAGAAGAUUAAGGGUGGAUUGUUAAUGUAAUUUCUGUAAAUAAUGAGAAGACUAAGUUUAUUUCUCAAAUGCUUUGGCUUGUCAAGCAUUGUGCCAAAUAAUUGAAGCCCUUCUUUUACCUUUAGUGAGAAUUAAAGAUGGGGCAAAUAUUCUACAACUCAACUGCUGAAUGUAACAACCAGACCACUCCAAACUCAUCCAUUUUACUUUCUCUUUUUUUGGCUUGAUAGACUUUCCUCUAAAGAUGAAGUUUAAUAAAAUGCCUUGCAGAUGGGCCUAUCAAUGAGUUCUAAGGAUUAAUUGAGAUUUGUGGUGGAUCUUUUGUUAAGACUUUAGAAUUUUAUUUAUGAUGUCAGUUUUAUAGGCUGUGAUCCUCAGGAAAAAGAUAGGCAAGUAAAAUUUGCUUUUAAUAGGUUGAUAAUUAAAACAAAUAUUAUCUGCUAAAAUUGGUGAUAAUUGAAAUUAAACAUAACAUUAUUUCUUCAUCUAAGAGUGCAUUUAAAGCUGCCUGGAUAAAACUUUGCACUGAUUUUUGUAUAAUAGUUGAUCAUUCAAUAUUUGACAAAAUGUUUCAGAAUGCCUGUGGUGGUAAAGUUUAAUAGUUCCCUAUAUUUUGCAAUCAAGAAAUCAUUAUUUAACAAAAUGGAUAGAUUAUUGAAAUUGUUGUUUAAAGUGGUUCAUAAUAUGUUCUUUGAGGUUUGAAUGUGAUGUCUGAUUUCAAUGUCCAGAGUUAUGUCCUAUGGAGCAUACCACUUAAAGACUUGUCGUUAAUUGAUAAAACAGAUUGGGAAAACUAGGUGCCAAAGGUAUAUUCAAGAAAAUACCAAAGAAGUAAAAGCAAGUGUUAGAGAGAUUAUGCUAAUAAAGAUAAGAAUCUAAAAUAAGGAUUUGCAGAGGACUAGAGGAACAUUGGGAUUGGGAAUUUUUUACUUUCUUACAUGCUUUCAAAUCAACUUCUACAUAAUACCAAUAAUCAAAGGCACUCCUUUAAGAGAAGAUAUUCCAAUACUUCAGUAAUCUUAUGUCUUCAUAAAUUUAAUUACUAUGAUUUAUUGACAUUUUAUCUUCUCUGUUUGAAUGCAGUCUUGUAACAAAGAGGGCCUACCCCUAUACAGGAUAAUUUUCAUUUUAGUUUUGAUUCACUACUUGCUCCCUCUAAUAAUCUUCAGGGUGAUUAAUGUGGAUCAUUUGGUAUAAAGCCUUAUUACCAUACACUAUUGAAGACUAUAUACAUGUACACAUAUUAUCAAUUACAUAAUUGAUAAAAAUUAGGUUACUAUUUAAUUGCCCAAUCAAAAUUAGAACUAAAGCUGUAGAGUUCUAACUUAAAAGUUAGACUUGCAGCUUCUUUUAAAAGACAAUAUAGUAUGAAUGGUGAGAUAGCUUUGAACUACAAAUAAAAUAUUUAAAAAUUAAGAGGAGAAUUUGACACCAAAGUUAGAUCAUUUUUUUGUACUUAUAAAAUUCCUUAAAUUUUAGAACAUUUCUUUUAAAAGUACGUUUAUUUGAAAAUAGGGAUAUUAAAAAUAAGACCUAAAUUUUACAGACUAAUUAUGCUACCAUAUAACUUAAAAUGGAAUUUGGUCUCUAAUAGGUUUAAGUUAUUUAAUAAAAUGAAUAUUUGGCUUGGUUUACAACAGUAUUUGUAAAACAUGUAACAGUGAUAAUAAAUAUGACUUGAAAAAUGCUAUAUUUAGAAAUUGAGGUAAGAAAUGCACCACAUACUUUGGAAUAGAAGAGAGGAAAAAUAUUCAGUAAAUUAUGAAAUUCUAACAUUUAUUGCAUGUGAGAAAUCUUAAAGCUAGAAGUCUUGGUCAAAGAACCCAAAAUAUUUUAAAUGUUUUAUUUGGUGACACAAUUAAAUGAACUCUCUGAUCUGUGUAGUCAUCUCUAGAGAAAAGGAACUAUCUUAGAAACCAGCAGUAUCUGUGAAUAUGCUUCUUUUAUUUUUAAAUGUUGAUUUCAAAACAGGUUAAAAUAUUCUCUAAGGCAUUUAAUUUUUUCCAAUGAACUAUUUGUAGAUAAGGAGUAAACUAAUGUUACCUUGACUUAAAAAUGAUUUGUGUUUAAACUGUGAACUUGUCUGAGUUAACCAAUAAGACUAUUGUCAUUUUUCCAUGGAGAACUGAUCUGUAAGGAACUCUUACACAGACAUGCUCUGCUGACCCCAUUCCACAUGCUUAUUAUUAUAGUAGAAGCAAGAGUUGAGACACCAGCUACAACUUUUUUUUGAACCUGGAUAUCCUUUCACAGGUGGCAAGUGCUAUCUUUAGGAGAAGAAAGAUGGCAGGAAAAUCUGAGUACCUUUGAAAAUGUUGAGCAAAGGCAGUUGACUAAACAGUUUAAAGACCUAAAAACAAUCUUCUAAAAGAGACAAGACAAGUAAAAGAAAGGGAAGGGGAUGAGAAGGGAGAAUCAGAAAAAAUAAGGAACAGGAUUAGUAUGUGAAAGAGAAAGUUGUUUCAUGUGAGAGAAAUGCUUACAUAAUUAUACAAUUUUGCUUUCUUGUAUUGGCUGUACACUCCAAAUACUGCUACCCAUAACUUUUUUCAUUCACCCAUGAUUCAAUCACCAGGGACUAGAUUCUUCUGUAUUCAAUGAAAUAUGUUACUGUGAAGUAUCUUUAAACUAAGAUCCUGGGUAGAUAAGAACAUUGAAACAGUAGAAAUUAAGUUGGAGAAAAGACUAAAUGGUAAGCCUGGGUUUGUUGAAAAUCCUGAUCAAAUUUCAAUGUAUAGCCUAAGAUUGAAUAAAUUCUGUUGAAAGAAUUCAUUAUCGAAUAUUGAAUAUCUAUUAUGACCCAGAAAUUUUUCAGGGUGGGAGAUAUGGUAGGUAGGAACUAUACACAAUCCAUUUGCUGAAGCUGUUCUUUGAGGGGUGGGAGUUUAGUUUUAUUUUAAAAGAUGUUUUAUUGGAAAUAAUAUUUGCAUUUCUCAAACUAUAGAGUGUCUUUCAAGCAUGUAUCUCUGAAGGUAUUUGCAGCUACAAAGAUGCACAGGAAAAAGAAAGUUCUUCUGAGCUAGAUCUUAGAGCUAUAGGGGUGUACAGUAUGUUUUGCAGCAUAUUUUGUACUUGCAAGUUUGAUUGCAAACUAGAAUUGCAAAAGAAAAACAUGUUUGGCCUUAGCUCAUCGCUGGGGUACAAGAGGUCAUAGGGGGAGGAAAAGAGACAAGUUCAAGUACAGAACAGUUUCUUCUGGCUUCCCUAGCUUUCAUAGUUUUUACAGAGGCAAUCAGGGUGAUAUUAAUGUAAAUGAGAAAUAGUCAAAAAAUCAUAGUCUGAGAUUUGUAUAUCAGUAUGUACAAGAAUAGCAGAAUAGUUUUAUUUUGUCUGGUGCCAAUGAACUGCUUCCAUAAAUUUAGAGUAUUCUUUAUACAGCUACUCCAGCCAUCACUGUCUUCUCCUUCUAAAUCUCAGUAAAACCCCUGUUUCCCCUCUGAAAUUGAUAUUAAUGAACACAAAGAUACGUGGGAAACAGCAAUUUGCAGUACUGAUUGAGUUUCUUUAAGAAAAAUUUCCAGAGUGUAUUGAAAUAGAAUUAAUUAUAAUUUCUUAAUAUAAUUAUUUUUAGAACUGUUAUACUUGGUCAAUAAAUAAUUGUCCUCUAAAGUAAUCAUGAUUUUGCAAUUCAAUGUAAGUGACCAGCUGUAUAUGAUUUCCUAAAAAAAAAAAUCACAGAUUAGAAAUAAUGGAAGAUUGUAUACAAUUAAGUCAAGAAGUUCAUGGAUAUUUAUGUAAUAUACGGCUCUGUAAUGUAUAUUUUUUAUUCUCAAAUGUGAUUACUACAUGCCAAUAAUGUGUUUUUUGAUUUUAAGUUUCUUUAUUAAAAGAGCCAUGUCAAAAAACUUGUUACAUUCAUGAUCAAAUGUCUUAAACAAAAAUUUUAACCUUUAGAGUUGUUUUUUAUUUGCCCAAUUCUUGCUCUACAGAUAAGUAGAUCUGUUAAAAAACAACUUUCUACAUUAGUACCUUUCCAAUCUUUUUGUGUGUCUAAGUCAUUGGAGAUCUUGUUAAAACACUGGUUCUUUUUAGAAGAGGGGAGAUGUGGAAAUGUGGCCUGUGAGUCCGAGUUUUUCUUCUCCCAGGAGAUGUGAGGGUGACUAUUACAUUAACAAAACUUGGAGUUUUGAGUCUCUGUAUCACUUGAAGCAAAAUAUACACUCAACUCCUCUCCCCUUAUAUUUUAAAAAUAAUAUGAGUUUAUGCCUAUUUUUAAUCACUGUCAUCACUGUCAUCCUGUUGAUCAUCGAUUUGCUCGAGCAGGUGUAUAGUUUUAUUUAUUAAAAACUAAUAAAAAGCAAAAAUUAAUGAUCAUAAACUAUUCUUCCAAGUUGGCUACAAAUACACAGAAAUUUGUGCAUUUAAAAAUUUUAUCUAUACUACAUGAAGCAAAGGAAUAUGGUUGUACAUUCUUAUCAGUGAGGAAAUGACAUGUGGUAAAUAUCUUUGUUUUAUUUUCCCCCUAAAAUUUAUUCAGAUAAGGAAACUUCACUUGACAACAUGAAGAAGCAAAUUCUACCCAGGGUUUGCAAGAAUUUUCCAAUUUAUUCCUUUGGCUAGAUAAGCUAAAAUCUGAUAAAAGUAUUCUAUUCAGACUUAUAAGUAGCUUGAUAUGCUAAAGAUGCUCAUACCCUGAGCUGAAAAAUGCUACUAGGAUCUUCAACUUCUUUUGGACAUUUUAAAGUACGAGACACCCUCUUCUCACUAUGGACUUCCUUUUUCUCUUCAGUUGAUAGUGUCUGGGUAAAGGGUGAAGGUUUAGUGUAGAUGAGAGAGUUGCACAAAUUGUCUAAUUGAGCAUGCCAAGUGAUUUUUGUCAGGCUCUCCUUUGGUCAUAAAUUGUUGCUAUAGCUAUUGUGAAAUAUAGUGUCAUAAAUUUGUCAUUAACAAAAGGAGAAAAGCAGAAAUUUAGUUAUGUGGGAAUGUGCCCAAAUAUCAAGCAGAUGGUGUUCUACAACAUUUAUUUGGAAAAAUGUGUAUCUGUUACAUAAUCUAAAAUAUGUCUUUUUCACAUUUGGAAAUAUUUGGGUCAUGGUUUAGAGUUUCUAUUGGACUGUUUUUUAAACUGAAAGGAAUAAGAAAGGUAAUUGUAUUUUAAAACCUAUUUGACAUGUUACUAAUAAAAUUUUAUUUCUGGUGAAA